GGGAGUGGGGUGGGAGACGUCGGGAUGGACGGACCGGUGUCGGUCAGAGGGCUGGGACGUGGUUCUGGGGUCACAUGGAGUGCCAGGGCUCAAGGGAAAGGGUGCGUGGGAUGGGGCAGGAUCUGCAGGAUGUUAUAUGGACCACAGGGAUGGGACAGGGUCUAGAGAGUGGUACACGGACCAGAGAGAUGGGACAGGGUCUAGAGAGUGGGACAUACACCAUAGGGGUAGGACAGGAUCUGGAGGGACAUGGACCGUGGAGGUGGGACAAGGUCUGCAAGGUGGGAAAUGUGCAAUGGAAGUGGGACGUGGACCAUAGGGGUGAGAGAGGGUACCCAGUGGUGGGAUGUGAACCUGGAGCCCCUGGACUGGGGCAAAGAACUGUGAUGUCAAACAGGUCCCUGAGGGUCAGCCACAGCCCCCAGGGUCAGGCUGGGGUCCCCAGCGUUCAGGCCACACCCCCACGGAGGGGUGGGACCCCUGAAAGUGGUGACUCAUGAGAGUCAUGCAGGGUGCAGGUUAGGGCAGCAGUGCCCCGGGAGCAGCAGGAUGGGGUGCAGAGUGAUGCCCAGUCAGGCAUCAUCUGGGUCCUGAGCUUCUCAAAGCUCUGGUGUACAUCCUGGGGCUCCGUGGGCUGGCACCAUUCCUUGGAGCAGUGCUGGCUCCUGGCAGCACAGUGUCCUCAGGACGAUGGGUUUUGGCAGUGCCCAAGGGAAACAGCUGGAAAGUGGUCCUUAGUCUCAGAACUGGUUAACGCUACUAGUCACGCUCCAGCUAUUGUUCUCUGUUGGUAUUCAGCUCUGCAGACUUCUGCUUCUAUUUCAGGCCUGCUGAAGGGCUCAUGUACCCUGCAGCCUGCCUGUUUUUCUCCUAAUUAUUUCAGUUGGGCUAAAAAAAGAUAUUACCUCCCUCUGCAAACCUUGCCUCCAUUGUUCUCGGCAGGGUGAGAAGGAAAGGAGAAGAAAAGCACUGAUAUCUCCAGGUUAAAUGCACUUUUUCACAGGUAUCUCUGCUUGCUCCACUUGCACAGGGUCCAGUCUAGGACAGAGCUCCUGAGAGCACACAAACAGCAAUUAGCGGUAAUGAGAAGAAACACCUGAUUGCAUCUCCUUCUUAUCAACUUGGCUGUGGCUUUGGCAGAGGCUCCAGUCUCACCAGUGUGAUCCCUUUGCUGGGUAAACACUGUCUGCAGCCUCAAUGCUCCUUCUGCCACUGCUGGUAGCAAAACUGGGCACAGAAGAUGCUGAUUUGGUGCAAGCAUGGGCCUGGCAUGCAGCUGUGAGCAUCCAUGCAUCUCAUCCCUGCAAGGCUGGGCCCAAAGUUCUGGGUGCAGCACAGAAUGAGUUAUUGUUAAAAAAAUGAUGCUGCAGCCAGGCUUUCAAAAUGACCCAAACCAGCAGAAAUGCUUUUCUGUAUUCUUUAUUUUCCUGGCAGGGCUGCGGGGAGUGAGGGGAAACCUCUGGCCCAGCCGAUAGGGUGUGGGCUGCGGUUCUGACUCUCUCCCGGAAAAUUUUAAUCGGUGAAAAAGUGCGGAAUGUUUUUAGCAUGCAGUCACUGUGCAUGCGAGGACACGCGGCUGCUGGGGAGCAGCGACGCCAAGGCCGUAUCGUUGGGGUUUAUCGGCUGCUGCAAGGGCAGUCCCCAUCCGCAGGGAGCAGCAGCUCCGGGAGGACCUGUUGUUGAAUGAAAGUAAUUAAGGGAAGGUGUUUGCAGAGUGAGAACACAGUUGCACAAAUGGAGUGGGUUGUUGGCAGCCUGGGGACAGGCAUCAUGGCUGGGUUUGCGGCAGGGAAGCACUGCCCACCCCGGUGCGUGGUCACUGGUAAAAGUGGGGCGAUGCUGCUGGGGGUGACACCAACCAGCUGGUGCUGGUGAGGCUCGCAACGAGGACCUCAGCUGGUGAGGCAGCCCUUUGCUCUAAGCCCUAUGUGGUGCUGGCGCUGGGGUCUUUGACCCAUCCCUGAGGCCAAUGGGAGAGCCGUGACACUGCCACCCAGCCCGCAGCACCUGGACACCUUGGCAAGUCACAUGCUUUGAUUUCCCUCUGCACCCAAUGGUAAUAGCGCUUCUUCAGGGCACUGGACAGCCUCCUUCAUUAGCAUCUGGCUAACGACCACCUGGAGCAGAGGCUGGGUGUUGUAAUUGGACUGGGAGGAGCAGGCAGCCUGGGAACACCUGGGCAUGGUGAGCAGCAGGAGCCCCCGCACUGGGUUUGGCAGCAGCAAAGGCUGCAGGACUUUGGCAUGGGGGCACAUGGUCAGUGGGCAUGGUGGCAAUGAGUGUAUGGUUUGACCUGAUAAUCUUAGAGAUCUUUUCUGACCUUAAUGAUUCUAUGGUUCCCUGCUACACUUAGAAAUGCCCCUGAGUGCUGGGGGUUUCAGCCUACAUGUGUUUGCAGUGGGAACAAAGCAAACCCAAAAUCGUGGAAGGGCCUCUUGCUGGGGCAGAGUGGGGAUGCCUUAAGUUAGCUUAUGAAGGAGUGUGAUGAAAGCUAUGUGUUUAAAUCCAGGUUGGGAUUGCUGAUUGAGACUCCUGCCAGGGGCUGCCUGCCACUGCCCUGGUCCCCACAUGAAGGCACUGACACCGCUGGAGGCUCUGAGCUACCACUUCUACUGGUAAAAAUAUGCUCCUCUUUUUGCUCCUGAGGAGCUGGGAUGUGCUCAACACGCAGAAGAUAGUCCCCAUUCCUGCCCUCAUGCCCUGCUUGCGCCUGGAGCCUGAUUCGGCCUUCCUCCUCUUCCUCAUCCUCCCGCUGCUCGCAGCCUGCGGUCGCUCUGCGUGUCGCCAUCCCCCCCUAGCGCCCGCCCGGUGUAGCACCGAUCCCGACUGCGCGGAGCUGCGGCAGCACGAUCUCGGGAUGGCACCCAAGCGGUUUGCACACCAAGGUCAAGUUCACCAUGACCCAGUGGGUCAGCUGGAUGCUGGAUACAGAGAAGAGGGGAUUCUGCUGCCUGUCCCGUAACAAACCUGUUUGCUGACACGUCAUGAGCUUCUGAUAUCCCCUAAGUAGGGUCUGGGGGUGCAGGGGGUGUCCAGAGUUACAGGGCUGGGCUGGAUUGUGCAUGUGGGAUGCUACAGUGGGGUGUGGAGGGGAUUGCAGGGGAUGUGUA